rnacentral:sRNA from 1 species
GUUAGGCAAGCGCUCUGCCGCUGAGCUAAAUCCCCAACCCCUCAUGUAGUCUUUCUAUAAUGGGAAAGACAGUCUCGUGAGGAUAUACACUACGUGUUACAUGGUAAUUUUGUGGCAUUCUGGGGCAGGGAGAUUGCUAACUACGGAAGCAGUGGUGAAACGUGACCGAUGGGAGUUAGCACAGACUAAGGGCCGACUAGGCAGACCGCAGGAUUUUUAUUUAGGUAGUGAGACUGCUAUCCACGACACCGUGCUUCACAGCCGUCUGGACCCUUACAGUGUGCAACACUGAUAGUGAAUCCUCACAUAAACUAUGAACACUGGGUAACAAAGAGCUCUCUGAGAUGUGAGCAUCUGGUUCACAUCUGUAACAGCAUUCAGGAGGCGGAUGACUGCAAAUUCAAGGCUAGCCUGGGCUACAUAAUCAGAGCUGAGCAGCCCGUAAGAGGAAGGCAUCAGUUAUGACAAAUGCAGUACUCUAUUUGACAUUAUUGAGACGGCCACGUGUGUGCAAUUGGGUAGGUUUGUGAAACCUCUAUUGUCUGCUCCAUUUUGUGAUAAACUGAAUAGUUUUCUUAAAAUAUAAUCCACUUAAAAGGAAAAGCAGAAAUCUCAACAAAGACAGCUACCCCUCUUCCAGAAAACUCCACUGUGGGAGGUAGCAGUUUGAUGAGCAGGAGAGUUAGGUGAGCUGCUGAGGUUGUCCCUUGACCUGAGUGGCAGGCAUGUUCUGCAUUCUGUGGCAGCUCGCCCAGUUGUCCACUUGGGUGUGUGUACUGGGGGAAGAGGCAAUGGGUAACAUGCCUAAGAGAGACUUAAAGUGAAACAAAAGGAACUUAAGCAGAGGGUGAGCAUGCUGGCCCACCCAAUCAUUCCCAACACUCAGGAGGCAGAAGCAGGUCAAACUCUGGGAGUUCAAAGCCAGCCUGGUCUAUGUACUAAGUUCCAGGACAGCAACACUGUGCCUUUCAAACAGUAACAACACCUCAAACUUAAGCAGGUCGCUGCCUCUGGGCCUGAGGAGUCCAGGUUUGGGAUAACUUGGCCAACUAAAAUCGGUCAGAUCUUUUAAUAUCUAGCUUCCUUGCUCAUGGAAGACAGUAAAUUUUCUACUUUAAGCUCCUGGGAAUUUAUUUAGGCACUCACUCUGACACUGAGCUGUAGCCCCAGCCCUCACUCAGGAAGUCUUCCUCCUUCCUUAUUGGUUCACAAUCCCACAGAACUCUUCAGACCGUAGGUUCUACUAACCUCGGGUCACCUCCUGAUGGUUUGCCUGUUGAGGCCAUGGGUCCUCUGGUGUAGGAGUGGAGCAUUAACAUCACUACAUACACACAAACUACUGGGAAGGAGCUCCCUCUGAAAACCCACAAUGGACAGCUACCAUGGUAACAUCAAAUUUGAUCUGAUUCCUUCUGUAUCUGAGUGUAGAUCAGCCUUUAUGAAAGCUGUGUGCUGGCAGUCUGAUUAUCUAUCUGUGAAAUGAGCCACAAGUGAAGCCGGCCUCUUCAGCUUCAGGAGAUGUCAUCGUUCCAGUUAUGGUUCAGUCAUUCUGAAGUAGCCAUUGCUAAAGGAGGAAGUAACAAGUGGCCAGCAAGAUUGGUCCAAAUCCCGGUAAAAAUGUGGUUUUUCACUCAUAAAUCAAGGAUAGUAACAAAGUAUGACUUAGUCUGUUGAGGAGGACUUAGCACAUUUUAGAUACUUUGCUGACAGAAGUCGCAUGAAAAUGCAGAGACUGUGGUAGCCUCUGUUAAGAUGUAUGAACUGGAGGGCAAUUCAUCUAGAAAACACUUUAUUACACAUGUGCUGGAAGUUAGUCCACUUAAGUAGGCAACGUUGGGAACCCAAAUCUUAUCGUAAACACACAUUGCACUACUUCUGAAUGUGUGUGUUUCUCUAGGAAAGCAACAGACUGCCACAUAUAAUCUAAAACGGCCAUUUCCUUCUCGUUAAAGGGAUUACAAACGUUGCAUUUGAAAUACUUCAUUUUUUAAAAAUCAAAAAUGAUAAAUAGCUCUUUUAAUUUUGAAAAAGGCUUACUGGUAGUUUGGAAAACACCACUGAUACCUAUAUUAAGAUUACAGCUGGGGUGGUUAUAACUGCUGAACCCCAGACCUAGCUGAGAACGUGUCCAGUGAGGAGAAGUUCAGAUGCUGCCAGUCUUGAGAGGAUACGAACUCACCUCAGGACUGACCCUGGCUUCACAGUGCUCCAUUUCCUAUUCUUCUAACCAGAGACCAAGGGAUACCUUCACCAUCAAACACCACUUCCAGUGUUUGGUGCCUGUGGGCAGCUCAUCCUGAGACAGAAAUGAGCAGUGGCCCUGUGCAGCCUGUGCCUUGACAUCGCUAGCUUUCCUCCGGUUCUUCGAGGGAGUCAGCGGUCACUGAUCGGACCCCAGCUCCAAGACUGG